UGGUGCUAAGACUGGAGUUCUGGUUUUUUUGAUGAAAAUGGAAGAAGCCUCGGGCUUCCAUCAGAAUUUGUUACGAGCUUAGCUAAUUACAAAAGAAGUGGAAUGUUCGUAAAAGCAAGUUCAAAAACCUCCAACUCAAUUUGUAAACUGGAAACAUAAAAUAAUAUUCCUCUUUACAAUUGAGAGAGAGAAAUAAGUGUU
rnacentral:lncRNA from 1 species